CCAUCCUCCAUGAGUUCUUGGAGAUAAUUCUUCUCUGAAAUCUACUUUCUACUAUACAACAUUCAUUUGUUACUAACUUCUAUGUUCUAGGUUUCCAAGACACAGAAACCAGACAACGCUACAGAGAACUUUGAAGUAGAUAUCACCCAUUCCACACAACGAGACAAACCCAAACUAGUAAAUAACUUGCCCUUGGUUGCGGCCUUGAAACAACAUAGCUGUAGAUCCUGUGGUCGGCUGUAUUGACCUGCAGCGGCCGGGAUGGAGGUGGAUUGAAGACACUUGGGACACCCUCUUGCUCAUUCAACCGGUCCUGUACAGCUGCCUAUCAUAGGAGGAGCAGCAAAAGGGAUCCAUCAAAAGUUGCCAUGGAUACGUGCAGCUGAAUUCACGCAUGUUAAAAGCGCGUAAGAUGCGACAGACCUCUACAAUAUGAUCUGAAACUCAGUACUUGUGCAAAAAAGACCCAACCACCACCUACAGACCUCACAGCAACUGGGGCUCUCAGUACUCAUUCAACAGCAGGCCCAGGAAAGCCAAUACCUUCGGUCUAUUCCAAGCCAGAAUGCAUCUGGAGCACGUAGCUGGCAUGGUCAGCUGAGCAGUUACACACAACAUUGGAGAACUGCUAGUUGUGCUCGUCAAACAAGACAAUCAGGAAAAUGCAUUUCAAAAAUCUGCAGUGCUUUAACAGGUUGGUGUCAGGGGGAGGCGUCCGGUCUCUGUGACCCCAGGCACUGAAAUUCACAAUUUUGACCAGAGCGGUUGGUUUCGGGCAUUGUGAGACAGCUGCAGGAAGUCUGUUAGGGUUAACAUAGGAAAUGCGGUAUCUACACUUGUACUGUGUUGACCUCAGUACAUUGACCAUGGCCCAAUGCCACUUGGGGAGAUGGUGUUACUGCAUUAAUGUAACAGCGUGCUUACCUAGGUAGGAGACAAAUGUAAGUGUAGACACGUGCACAACUAGGUUGUCACAAGGUGGCUUACAUUGACCUAACGUUGUAGUGGAGCCUAGACCUCAAUGCACGUACAUUCUGGAUGCCUUUUCAAAGCACUGGACCUGAGUGGACACAAGCAUAUACUUUAUCCCUGUGCCUGCUAUUUGUUCAGACAUUUGAGUUUUUACAAUGGAGCAUCUAAGCCUUUGAAUAGCAUGUGUUGUAAAGCUCUUCAUCACCACCUCUUUUAAUAACCCUGAAAUGCUGCUAGCGACUGCAUAUUUACAAGAUUCAGAAACUUGUUCACACCUUUGUUUCUACAGAUCAGGAUUACUGCUGGGCGCUGUUAACAGGACUGCCUGCCCUGACAGAACAUUCUCUCCUUUUUAAGUUAUGCAAAAUACAGUAGCGGUUUUUGGAUGAAAAGCAAAUAUACAUCACAGUUUGUUGCCUAAGUUCCAUUUGUUUUAAAGAGUGUUGAUCUUUAUAACAUUUGCAGGGGUGCUUACAGAGCUGGUUAGCUAUGUGUAUGUUUUGAUGAGUACUAAUUCACAACACUAUUCACUGACCAUCACUGUAGUAUGGCAGUUGUGUUCAUGGUAACAUUCCAGGCCUUAUCUACAAUGGCAAUUUUCAGGAAACCUCCCAGGAGUGGGAGCAUUAGUGUAGACCAGCCUACAACAUUUUUACCACAAUUUGCAUUAGUACUCCCACCAUUGUUACAACCAAUAGAGAUGUACUGGUGAUGGUGCAGUGAUGGGAGGUUUCCUUCAAAACUGCCUGUGUAGAUGCAACCUCAGGUACCAGCAUUAGUUUGUUAAACAGCACUCUUACUACCAUGUUCCAGAGUAGAGGCAACAUACUUUAUAAACAUCUCUGAACUCUCUCAUUGAUGCUGAAAAUAGUUUUCCACUGAAUGUUAAUGCCUGGUAUGACUACAGUUCAAACUGUCAGUCAAGAACCAUGCUUAGACCAUUCUUGCUGGCAAAAUAUUAAUGUAGUUUUCCUAUAGCUUUUAGGGACCUUUGUAUUAACAGCAAGA